CGCGUGGGCGGCCUUCGGCCGCGCUUCAAAAAAAUAACCCUCAUCAGUCCAACUCCGGCUACGCAAUCCACAGUAUUUUUGCGUAGAACUCCUUUUUGCGUGGGCGGCCUUCGGCCGCGCUUCAAAAAAAUAACCCUCAUCAGUCCAACUCCGGCUACGCAAUCCACAGUAUUUUUGCGUAAAACUCCUUUCUGUGUUAAAACCAUUGAACCCAAAAUUAAAACGUCAUAUGCGUGUAUGUAAUAAGGAGGCACAAUAACCCCGACCCCCAUGAUUAAGACUAAACUUAAGAACUUAUUUUUUGUUUUCAUUUGCAGGCAUCCGGCAACACCAUACUGUUGGCAUUCCAAUCUUCUUCUUAUUCGCGCUUAAAAUUGGAAUGUGAUUGCAUAGGCAAAUGUAUUUGCAUUUAAUUUUAAUAGAUAUAAUUAAAAUAUUAGCAUAAAAAUCGGUAAAAACACGCGUGUGAGUGUAUAUUUGGUGAUUUAUAGUGAAAUGUUAAAAAAUAUAGAGUGUAAUGUGGCAAAUUAUACUGAUGUUCCCAAGGGCAUUUUGAAUGUAAAUAAUUAAAAAAUUAUUAUUUCCCGAUUAAUUUAAAGUUAUAAAGAGUGUUCCUUAACACCUCACUAACAUCUCCACCAAGUUUCAUUAAAAAAAACAUUAUAGUUUGCCAGAAAUUCCAAGAUCGGCACUGUUCUAAACUCCAGCCGGAUUGAAACCUCAAAGAUAAAAUAAAAAUAAUAUGCGUAAUUUUCGGUCGUUUACACAUGCAUUUAUCGUAUGAAAAGAAUUUAGUGGUAGUGAAAGUAACAAAAUAGAAACUUUCCAGUUAAUUUAAUAUAAUAAAGUUAAAUAAGUAUUGAUCAAAAUGAGAGGUCGUGAAAGAAAAAAUAAAAAUUAAUAUUAUAUAUGUGAAAAAAAAAAAAAGUGACAAAUGUGCCAGUGAGUAGUGUUAGAACUUGACGUUCUUCUGCCCAGUGAGAAAUCGUCGCGCUAAAAAAAUUUCAGGUCGGGCUUUAGAUUAAUUACACAAGUGUUAAGUGGUAAUUUGUUGGCAUUUCGGUGUUGCGUAUAAAAAAAGGGUCCACAUGUACGCGUUACCAGUGACGGCAAUUUAGUGGAUGGACCACCCACAAGAAAUCCUUGGACCACGGCAAAGAAGGAGCGCCAUCAGAAUUUACGUAUGGAGCUCGCACUUGGAUCAUCAUGGAACGACAUAUUAUAUUUUACUUAAAUUUUUAUUUAUAUUAAAGCAGGAAUUAUCAAUAUCAAUUUGGAAACAAUCAUCUGCCGUAAAGUCAUGGAAUUGCACCAUCAGAAGCAUCAUCAACAUAUGUGUACAACUUGAAUGCUGCCAAGGCGCAGUUUGCUGAAGCACAGAAAAGCUGAUGUAACUACGACCAUCCCAUGUUGAAGCUAUCUGGGAUGCCGCCAGCUGGAAGGAUAUCUUUAAUCACCUCGUUGCCGCUGCUAAGAGACGUUUGUAUCAUCCAAGCUUUAAUUGACCUAGAGAAGCCUGUUCGAAUUUGUGGGACGAAUGUUGGGCAAAGCAAAGCUGAUGAGUGAUAGUUUUAAAUAAAUAAUUUAACUACAACACAUUCCGCGUUUGUGAUAAUCAACGAAAAGAUGCGAAAUUUGAGCAUUCAGUUACUAUUGAAGAAAUAUUAUAGAAAAUUAACCCAUGUUGGUUCUUGCUUACUUUGUGAUAUGUAAUGCACACGAUUCGUGAAUUCUUCGUACAACUAUUAUUAGAAUAAAAUUACUUUAAACGAAUUUGUAUUGUACGUAGUAAUUAGAGCUAAGUUACGCGCUUUAUUAAAGAAUUAUAGAAAUUAUUCCAUGUUAGUUUUUGCUUACAAGGUAAGCAAGGGGAAGAAAGUUCUGUAUACAUAAGAUGAAAUUGCUUUAUGUUUUUUUUUUUUUUUUCUAAAACUGCAACACUUAGGUUGAAGAUUUGUUAUAAGUUAUGUCAUGUAUAUCGGCGUGGAU